UUCUUAGUAAACCACUCCUCAAUCUCUGCCUCUGGAGUGAGUUUCCUCCCCUUGGCUAAUUCUGUGAAAUUCAAGCAAGCCCCCCCCCCCCCCCUUGUACAUGUACAGGGGGCUCCCCUAUACAACCCGCCUGUACAGGGACCAUCCUAGGGUCUCUGCCUCCACUCAUUACAAAGCUUACAUUCCCAAGCACAUUAUAGCCUCACUCUUGGGAUGCCGCACGAGAUUUUACCUUUGAGGUUCUCGGAAUUCUCAAGAUACCUCCCCAGGUGGGACCCCCCUCCCAAGGGGUGUACUCCCACACCGAUCACGAUCACCCAACCUAUACCUGUGGAUUCACCCUUGGGGGAGCACCCUCACUCCAUCACCGUGUGAAGGUUUUGUCCAAAGUCUCCCACAGAUCCUUUCAUGGAAUCAACAUGGAAAAAACUGUCACGAGAACAUGAGUUCUUUCUCCAGGCAUGAAAAUGAAAGAGCUACCUGGAUAUCAUCUGAGUACUAAAAGCACAGAACUUCCAGAUGAUUUCACGGCAGAAGACCGUACUGGGGUCCCCUGACCACAGUUUGUUCCACGUUUCUAAUGAGACAAAAAUAUUGUAUUCAUCUUUGAAUAAUGAUAUUUCCACCAGGUAAUCAGGUCACACAGAAUAUUGCAAAUACCAAUCAGAUGUUCAACUCUUCCAGAGUUUCUAGAGGAAUCAGAAUUCCCUCACAGAUGCCAUCUACAUCCUGCCUACAAUGUGGCCAAAAGCCAUUUUGGAUUUCAAAGGUUUUCCCACCAAACUUCCACCUUCACAACAUGAUCACUACAUAAUGAGGUGGAAAAACCCAUUUUACCCAGUGCAUUCUAGAGAAUGAAGUGAAAAACCCCGCAGGUUUUUGGGGUGAAUCAGAAGAGAGAAUAAACUGAAAGCUGCCAUCUCAAAGUGAAAACCUCAGAUUUGCUGCCAUCAAAAACUCGGAGAAAGAUAAAAGGUGGAUUUGUCUUCAUGGCAUUUCACCUUCUUUAGCAACUGGUUCCUUUUCUGAGACAUUUGCACCUUUCUUGAAAACUUUGCCCUGCACUUACUUACCAUAAGUAAAUAGACUCAGUUAAAAUCAUGGAGAGAAAGUGGAGUAGAGCAGGGUAAGAGCCAAAAUGAAGGCUACAUUGGGAUUCCUUCCAAAGGGUGUCCAAAAGCUACUUACAUCUUUAUUGACUCUCCCAGAAAUUUUCUACUCUGGACUUCAAAUAUUUUGUUAUAGAAAUAACUUAUUCUAGAAAUCUAACAGGGCAGAACAAGCUAUCACUAAGUCUGUGAAUACCACUGCUGCAUAUGAGCUUUAUCUCACUUUUAUUCUUAGAUCACCACUGUUGUAGUAAUCCUAUUAGCAUCCUUUGCAAGCUGACAGCUCUGUCAGUGCCUAUGUACACAUUUUGGUAUUUCUCUGACCAAAAAUAUCUGAAAUCUCCUCAGACAUCAUUAUAAUCGAUGUUCAUUUUAGAGGACAGGAUGUUUUGUCAAUAACUUUGUGGUACAUUCUUGCCAGCGUUGAAAUCCAACUCUGCCAAGUAAAAUCUGUCAUUUAAAGGGCUACAUGAUGCUUCGCAGGAGGGGCUUGGCAAGGUUUGCCUUUUGUUCUACAGACAAAUUCCAAAGCUCCUGAAAUUUAUUAAGAUUCACAACUGAUACGCUGACCACUUAAAGGGGGCAUCAGAGAAGGUGCAAAGAUCAGAUUUAAAACCUAUUUAAAUAAAGUUCACUGAUGUUAGGUCAAGGAUUUGGAUUUUGCACAGUGUGUUCAGAAUAUAUUCAGAGUAGUUCUGCAAAUUCCAACUGACGAAACAGUAAGUGUCUAAAGAACGGUACUGAAAUAAGUCAAAAGCUGGAAGUAUACUAGCAUAUACCAAUGCUUUAUCAGUAACAUAGACGAUGGCAUUGAGUGCACCCUCAGCAAGUUUGCAGAUGACACCAAGCUGAGCGGUGCAGUCAAUACGUUGGAAAGAAGGGAAGCCAUCCAGAGGGACCUGGACAGGCUGGAGAAGUGGACCCAUGAAAACCAAAUGAGGUUCAAUAAGGCCAAGUGCAGGGUGCUGCACUUGGGUUGGGGCAAUCCCAAGUAUUUAUACAAACUGGGGGAAGAUCUCCUUGAGAGCAGCCCUGUGGAGAAGGACUUGAGGGUCCUGGGAGAUGAGAAGCUGGACAUGAGCCAGCAGCGUGCACUUGCAGCCCGGAAGGCCAACUGUGUUCUGGGCUGCAUUAAAAAAGGGGUGGCCAGCAGGGAGAGGGAGGUGAUUGUCCCCCUCUACUCAGCUCUUGUGUGGCCCCAUCUGGAGUACUGCAUCCAGGCCUGGGGCCCCCAGUACAGGAAGGACGUGGAGCUCUUGGAGCAGGUCCAGAGGAGGGCCACUAAGAUUAUCAGAGGGCUGCAGCACCUCUCCUAUGAGGAAAGGUUGAGGGAACUGGGCUUGUUUAGUUUGGAGAAGAGAAGGCUCUGGGAAGACCUCAUUGUGGCCUUCCAGUAUUUGAAAGGAGCAUAUAAACAGGAGGAGGAAGGGCUGUUUGCAAGGGUGGAUAGUGAUAGGACAAGGGGGAAUGGUUUUAAACUGAGACAGGGGAGGUUUAGGUUGGAUAUUAGGAAGAAGUUUUUCACCCAGAGGGUGGUGACACACUGGAACAGGUUGCCCAAGGAGCUUGUAGAUGCCCCAUCCCUGAAGGCAUUCAAGGCCGGGCUGGAUGUGGCUCUGGGCAGCCUGGUCUAGUGGUGGGCGACCCUGCACAUAGCAGGGAGGUUGAAACUCAAUGAUCGUUAUGGUCCUUUUCAACCCAGGCCAUUCUAUGAUAUAUAUGACAAAGGUAAAAUUGCUCUUCUAUUGUUGUAUGUCUGUGAUGAUUUUGAAGACAGACACAGCAUCAACAAGCAGGACAACAGGUUAAGAAGGAGACAGAAUUGAAGAUAGACUUCCUUCACAUUUUAUUUUUUUCUCCCUCAUUUAUCAAGACAGGAUGUCCAGAUUUUAGAGAAAGGAGAGCAGCAAGUGGCUCUGCAGGGACAAAUGGGACAGACAGAUACCUCUGGCAACUGGCCCAAAGCAGAGGUUGGACCCUGUCUUUCUCCCUCCCAUCCAUUUCGUUUUGAAAGCUGCAAGAUUCUAGGGCUGUUUCCUGGUAGGCAGACAUACAGAAAAUGCUGUGUCUUCUAUGGAAAGGCAUCUGCUGCUAAAAUCAUGGACAAGACAAUAGUUCAGGGGCCCACAUUACAUCCAGACAUCACAGCCUCAAUAAGUGUCCUGAUGCUUCAGGAUGCAUACCUACUUCUUCAGGUUCAGAUUAUUCAGAUUGGAUAUUAGGAAAAACUUCUUCUCACAAAGAGUGGUGGUGCACUGGCACAGGCUGCCCAGGGAGGUGAUGGAGUCACCAUCCCUGAGGUGUUCAAGAGCUGUGUAGAUGUGGCACUGAGGGACAUGGUUAGUGGAGAUGGUGGGGAUGGGUCACUGGUUGGACUGGGUGAUCUUAGAGGUUUUUUCUGACCUUGAUAAUUCUAUGAGUCUUCAUUUGGCACAUUUAACCCUGUACUCUUUUA
rnacentral:lncRNA from 1 species